GCCCCAGUAGCUCCCUGGUAGAGCACCGCCUUGGUAAGGCGGUGGUCGUGGGUCCGAAUCCCACCUGGGGCU
rnacentral:tRNA from 1 species